AUAUUGUGACAGAUAUUUGUGAACUAUUAAAAAUAAUAAUUUGAUAAUAUUUCUUAUAAGCUUAACCUACUAUUAUUUUAUAAUUAAAAAAUGAAGUCAACUGAAUGGAAUAAAAUUAUUAAAUAUGAAUAAGUGAUUUUUAUUUUGAAUCAUAUAUUUUUAGUCAUAAUUUUAUAAACUCAAUUUUAUGUUAUGUAUUUAUAUAUUUGGAUAUACGCUUCCAACACGUAUCCGCUUCCUACUUUUUUAAAUCCCGC
rnacentral:lncRNA from 1 species